AUUGAACGCUGGCGGCAUGCUUUACACAUGCCAGUCGAACGGCAGCGCGGGCUUCGGCCUGGCGGCGAGUGGCGAACGGGUGAGUAAUACAUCGGAACGUGCCCAGUAGUGGGGGAUAGCUCGGCGAAAGCCGGAUUAAUACCGCAUACGACCUGAGGGGGAAAGCGGGGGAUCUUCGGACCUCGCGCUAUUGGAGCGGCCGAUGGCAGAUUAGCUAGUUGGUGGGGUAAAGGCCUACCAAGGCGACGAUCUGUAGCUGGUCUGAGAGGACGACCAGCCACACUGGGACUGAGGCACGGCCCAGACUCCUACGGGAGGCAGCAGUGGGGAAUUUUGGACAAUGGGCGAAAGCCUGAUCCAGCAAUGCCGCGUGUGUGAUGAAGGCCUUCGGGUUGUAAAGCACUUUUGGCGGGAACGAAAAGGACUGUGCCAAUACCACGGUUCGAUGACGGUACCCGCAGAAUAAGCACCGGCUAACUACGUG
rnacentral:rRNA from 1 species